AACGAACGCUGGCGGCAUGCCUAACACAUGCAAGUCGAACGAGACCUUCGGGUCUAGUGGCGCACGGGUGCGUAACGCGUGGGAACCUGCCCUUAGGUUCGGAAUAACUCCCCGAAAGGGGUGCUAAUACCGGAUAAUGUCUUCGGACCAAAGAUUUAUCGCCUUUGGAUGGGCCCGCGUUGGAUUAGCUAGUUGGUAGGGUAAAAGCCUACCAAGGCGACGAUCCAUAGCUGGUCUGAGAGGAUGAUCAGCCACACUGGGACUGAGACACGGCCCAGACUCCUACGGGAGGCAGCAGUGGGGAAUAUUGGACAAUGGGCGAAAGCCUGAUCCAGCAAUGCCGGGUGAGUGAUGAAGGCCUUAGGGUUGUAAAGCUAUUUUACCCGGGAUGAUAAUGACAGUACCGGGAGAAUAAGCUCCGGCUAACUCCGUG
rnacentral:rRNA from 1 species